GACAGCCUAGGACCUGGGCAGACAAGCAAGCAAAGCUGCCUAACUCCUGCAGAAGUGGGAACAUUCUGUGGCAGGGACGGAGCUCCUGAAAUUAGAUGAUCACAUUUUUCUACUCUCAUGACAUAUCCAUAAGCAACCCGAAAUAUUUGUGAAUUCUGUCACUGCAAUUAUGAAAACUGAGAUUGAGUGCCAUCUGGCAAGGGGGAGCUAAACUGGCCUGUCCAGAAGGGCAAGAAGACGGCUUGGAGUUAAAUCUGCUCUGGCAACUGAUACCUGGUGCAGUUGCUGAUGAGAAGGGGCACUCAAAACCAAGGAGAAACUAGUGUGGCUUUCCCAGUGCUACACUCACCUCCACCCUCUCUGGGAGCCUCUCUUGGGGGGCUCACCUGCUCCCAUGGCCUGGUCCCUGCUCCUGUGCCUGUGGGAUCCAGAUCCGUCCGCAGGUCAAACACCAGCUUCAGGUCCCUGGACAUUUCACCUCCCAUAUUCAGCGGUCCUGAGCUCACCAUCUCUCCACUCCCCCGCUGUCCCAGUCAAUGGCAUCAUCUGCAGUUUGUGUGUGUCCUGCUUCCCGGCCUCUCUCUUAGUGUAGCCCCUCAUCAUUGCCCACAUUCAAUUCACAGCUGCCCCUGGCCUGGCCUAGCUCCCCUCUAGCGCACUCCCCACAUGGCAGCCAGAGUGUUGCUCUAAAAUACUCGAUUAUGUCUUUCUAGUUUAACCUUUCAGAGGUUCCCUGUGGCUUUAGGCCCCAUGUGCCUUGUGAGGCUCAUUCCUUAUUCCUCGUUUCCCCCUCUAGAUCCACUAAACUCUCAUACCCAGCUCAGAAAUCACCUCCUCCUGAAAGCCUUCCCUCAUCUGCCUAGAAAGUCUCUCAUUUUUCUACACUGUAUGCAAUGUAUUUAUUUAUAUAUUGGACCCUCUUAACCAGUAAGGGUUUACCUCACUUCCAAGGAGGCAUUAUUUCAGGGAAUUGGGGAGCUGUUAGUAUAUCUCGUGGGAAUGUCUUUGUGUGAUUCUGUGGUUACAGCCAUCUUCUGCAAUGCUGCGUCUUGUCAGGCCUCUGGACUCAAGUGUGUUUUGCAGACCAGCAGUGUCGGCAUCACCUGGGAGCUCGUUAGAAAUGCAAAAUUUCUGCCCCCAUCCCAGACUUCUUGAAUCAGAAUCUGCAGUUUAACAAGUUCCCCAAGUGAUUCGUGUGCACAUUAAAGUUUGAGAAGCACUGGAUAAAUACCUGCUGUCUUGGAGACAGAUGUUUUCAGUGAGCCACAUUCCAGAGAUGCAUUGGCUCCUCACACUCAGGAGCACCUAGUGUGAGCUGGCUACACCUGGGUCCACAAGAAUGAUCUUGGGUGGGGCAAAGGGAGUGAGGGCAGCUUCACCAGGAUGGAGCCGGGAGGACUCACUGUCUACACCUGGAGCCCCUCAAGCUGGCGUCCAUAGGAUAAGUGACACCUUGAUCUUUUUUUUGCAUGGGAAAUUGAGAUGUUUGGCAUGGGCAUGGCCUUAUUACUGAUUUAGAAGCCUGCAACUAGACCACACCCCUACUAGUCUCUGAGCUCUUUGAAGAUGUGACCUAUCGAC
rnacentral:lncRNA from 10 species